rnacentral:rRNA from 1 species
CCUACGGGUGGCUGCAGUGAGGAAUAUUGGUCAAUGGACGAGAGUCUGAACCAGCCAAGUAGCGUGAAGGAUGACUGCCCUAUGGGUUGUAAACUUCUUUUAUAUGGGAAUAAAACAGGGUAUGCAUACCCUCUUGUAUGUACCAUAUGAAUAAGGAUCGGCUAACUCCGUGCCAGCAGCCGCGGUAAUACGGAGGAUGCGAGCGUUAUCCGGAUUUAUUGGGUUUAAAGGGUGCGUAGGCGGUUUUUUAAGUUAGUGGUUAAACGUCGGGGCUUCACCUUGAUUUGCCAUUAAUACUGUAAGACUCGAGUUCAGACGAGGUAGGCGGAAUAAGUGAAGUAGCGGGGAAAUGCUUAGAUAUAACUAAGAACCCCAAUAGCGAAGGCAGCUUACCAGACUGCGACUGACGCUGAAGCACGAGAGCGUGGGUAGCGAACAGGAUUAGAUACCCCUGUAGU